GAUGAAGAACGCAGCGAAAUGCGAUACGUAGUGUGAAUUGCAGAAUUCAGUGAAUCAUCGAAUCUUUGAACGCACAUUGCACCUCUCGGUAUUCCGGGAGGUAUGCCUGUUCGAGCGUCAUUUGUACCCUCAAGCUCUGCUUGGUGUUGGGUGUUUGUUCCGCCUCUGUGUGUGAACUCGCCUCAAAACAAUUGGCAGCCGGCGUACUUGUUUCGGAGCGCAGCACAUUUUACGAUCCAGAUCAACGUACAGCGGCAUCCAAGAAGCCUUAUUUAACGCUCUUGACCUCGGAUCAGGUAGGGAUACCCGCUGAACUUAAGCAUAUCAAUAAGCGGAGGA
rnacentral:misc_RNA from 1 species